rnacentral:rRNA from 1 species
UACGAAGGGUGCAAGCGUUACUCGGAAUCACUGGGCGUAAAGCGUGCGUAGGCGGUUCGUUAAGUCUGUUGUGAAAGCCCUGGGCUCAACCUGGGAACUGCAGUGGAUACUGGCGAGCUAGAGUACAGUAGAGGAAGGUGGAAUUCCCGGUGUAGCGGUGAAAUGCGUAGAGAUCGGGAGGAACACCAGUGGCGAAGGCGGCCUUCUGGACCAGUACUGACGCUCAUGCACGAAAGCGUGGGGAGCAAACAGG